rnacentral:lncRNA from 1 species
UGAAGUCUUGCUUGAAAAUACUCUAGGCACUUGAAUAUGGAAGAUAGAAUGGAAAUUGUAAUAACAAAAUCUUUAAUUCUAAUAGAACACUAAUAAUGUUAAACAAGCUUUAAUCAAUUUUAGAAAAACCCCAAUAGAUUUCCAAAGAAACAAUAAGAAAUCUUAAAGAAAUAUUAGAAUGAUUACAAACAUAUCUCAAGUACAUCUCAAUUCAAUCUUAAUUUAAUCCUAGUUGAAAUCUUACUUCAUUCAAACUUUAGGCCAAAAACUAAGUAAUCUUAAAUCCUAAAUAAACUCAAAUAAAAUUCUAAAUCCUAAAUCAAACCUUAAUCAAAUCCUAAAUCCUAAAUCAAACUCUAAAUCUUAAACUAAAUCUUAAUCCUAAAUAAAAUCAUAAUCAAAUCCUAAAUCUUAACUCUAAAUCAAAUCCUAAACCCUAAUCUUAAAUCAAAUCCUAACCAAAUCCUAACUCUAAUUCUAUACCCUAAUCCUAAAUCAAAUCCUAAUCAAAUCCUAAACCCUAAACUAAAUCCUAACCAAAUCCUAAUCCUAAAUCAAACCCUAACUAAAUCUUAAACCUAAAUCAAAUUCUAACCAAAUCUUAAAUCCUAAACCAAAUCUUAAUCCUAAAUCAAAUCCUAACCAAAUCCUAAUCCUAAAUCAAAUCCUAACCAAAUCCUAAUCCUUAUACUAAAUAAAAUCCUAACCAAAUCUUAACCCUAAUCCUAAAAUUUAAUCCAAAUCCUAAUCCUAAUCCUAAACCUUAAACCAAAUCUUAACCAAAUUCUAAUCCUAAAUCAAAUCCUAAUCUUAAAUCAAAUGCUAAUCAAAUCCUAAAUCCUAAAUUCUAAUCCUAAAUCAAAUCCUAACCAAAUCCUAACUCUAAUCCUAAAUCCUAAACUAAAUCCUAAUCAAAUCUUAACCCUAAUCAAACCCUGACCAAAUCCUAAAUCCUAAACCAAACCCUAGUAAUUUUCUACAAUAGAAUUAAACCUCAAUAACUAAUAAAUUAAUUAUUGAUCUUAAUUCAAAUUUUUCACACUUCUUAAAGACUAAGUUAAAAACAAGCACAAAAUUUUUGAAAAGGAUCGAAAUUACAGAACAGACAAUAACUUCAAAAAUGUGCUCAAGUAUUGGCCGGCUUGCUUCUUCAACCUUGAUGCAAAUGUUCCAGAGCCAAUAUCUCUCCUUUUCACCAUUCGAUUGAUCUCAAAAUUCUCAAACACAUAGAAAUAUAAGUCUAAUAUACUCUCACAUAAAUUUCACUCCAAUCCAAUUAGUAGAUUGUAAGAAAUCUUAAAAACCCUCACUGGACCUAAAAUUCUACUUUCUGAGAUCGUGACUCACUUAAACCUCAAUAAUCCUUAAUUCAACCGUUAGAUCGAGCUAAGAUUCAGAAUACAUAUUAAGCACAACUAUGACCAUUAACCCACAAAAUUUCACCUAUAGAUCUAUUACAAAACUCUUGAAAUCACAAGAAACAUCAAUCCUAUUUUAUUUCACAAACCCCAAGUCGUCCAAAAACAAUCUUGACUUUGUAAAGCUCUUACAGAGUAAUAAAAAUUCUAAAUUGCCGAAAACCAAUGCCUAUAAAAACCUUAUCCAAUCUCCUAUCAAAUUCCACUCUCUGAUUUGCAAAAGAAUCUCUAAGUUGCCGUAGGUACUUAGUUUUGUGCCUCAGGGUCUGAUUUCAACCCAUGUUGAUAAUUGGCCCUCCUCAAGUAUCAAUAUUUUUUUUUUUUAAGUAAUUUUUGAUAGAAUUUACUCUUAAUUUCUUCCUAAAGAUGUCUAUAUCAUUAAUUUUUCCAAACUACCUUAUUUUGCUUAAUUUUUAGUUCUACAAAGUAAGUAGAAGCUAUUUUUUCUAAAAAGACAGCAUUACUAUUAAAAGUUUUACUACAUUCCUAUCUUUCAUCCAUAUUUUUCUAUUUUUCUUUUAACUUGGCUCUUUUGAAAUAAGAUCCAUAUUAUUAUCUUUUACCAUAUGGUCAUGUUACAAUAUGACACCAUAGUGUUCCAUUUUUCUUCAGUACUAUAAACCAAUAACUGGAAUAUGGUACAAAUGAUGGCUCUAGGAUCUUCAUUUGCAUCCUUUUUAUUUAAAGCUCUAUAAGUUUAGAUAGAUACACUUUAGGCACCAAAAUUGGUCUUAAAUUCCAAAAAACAUGCAAAAUUAUAAAUAUAAUCAUUGGUGCUAAACCACUUGGAUCGACACAUUCAAUUUCUGAAGGUUUAAAAUCAAAAGUCUUUCCAUGUGUACUUAACAUAUUUCUAAAUUCUAUUUCUUCAAGGGGUAAUAGAAAAUUUGUAGAUCCUACUUUGAACUCAUUGAGUAUAUUCUUGGUAAACUUGUGGCUAAUUUGUUUAGGAUCCCAUAAGUCCUUCUCCUUCAAAACUUGUUGAACUUGAUGAUUGAAAUCACUAGGUAAUUGUAUAGCUACAGGUUUUAUUUUCCUCUCCAUACAUUUGUAUCUAGUUUCAACUUUGACUUCAUAAUCUUAAAAUGCUUAUAUAGUUGAGUAGAGCUCUCUUGAAUGUACUUGCACCACUUGAUCUUCAUUUCCUUCUUCAACUUCUAAAAGUUCUUCUAUAAAAUCUUCUAAAUCAGUCUCCAUAUAUAUACCUACUAUCUUAUCAUCUCCAUCAAGCACAUCUACUCUUAUUAAGUCUUUUUCUGUUCUUUGCAUAAUUUUUUUCUCCCACUUUGGUAGAUCAUUAAGUUGUGUAUAGAUAGCAAAUUCAUUUUUACAUAAUUCUAUAAUAUUUGUACAAAAGGUACUUUUUUUUUCAUGUAAGAGUACUUUCUUUGAUGCACCACUAUAUUCCUGCUCUAUAGUGGUACCUUGUAAAAAUUCGUAAACUCUUCACUAACCCUUGGUAAUAAAUCACUUCAUAAAUAAUCAUGAUUGUAUUCAUGAUUUACAAAUACUAUUAGAAAUUAUACUAUUUUUUUUCCAUCUUCACUUCUAAUAUGGGCAUAUGUUGAUUUGUCAUCCAAAACCUUGGUGUCCAUCCUCAUAGCUGUAAUAUAUGGUUGACCAAGAAUCACUGGGUAUGAAGUAGUGUCUUGAACAAAAAAAAAUUGUUCUAUGGUCACAUCUCCAACUUUUAUCUUCACAUUGGAAGAAGUACCAUAAAAAUCUCCUUGUGUAUUAUUUGCUACCCAAAUCAUCCAACCAUGGUUAAUAUCAAUGGGCCACCUUCCAUGUUUGUAGACUUCUUUUCACAUAAUAUUAAUUUCAGAUCUAUGGUCAAUGAAAGUAAUUACUAGUUCUACCAAGUCUUCCAUUUUUACUAAAGUCUCUAUGGUGGCUCUAGCCCAAUGUCCUUUGGUAUAGUGUCCAGGGCCCUUGUCAUCAUCUUUGUAUUCAUCCAAAUCAAAUUGUCUCUUUUUAUUGAUACAACAUUCUACCAAUUCAUAUUCCUCUUCUUCAAUCAAGUUUGUAUCCAAAGUCAUCCCAUCUUGUGGCAUUUCUAAUUAUUGUGGCUGUAUUAAGUAAUUCCUGCCUUAUUGUUUUUUUUUUAUUCAUGCUGAUAAUAGCAUGAUUCCAUAGAUCCCAUGUAUUUACAUACUUGUCAAAAACAUCCUCUUUCUUUCUUACAGCUUCAAUGUCAUAAGUAAUAGCCUCUCUUGAUGCCAUAUUCUAUUGAGAUAAAUGCUCUUUCAAAACCUUCUUCAUCCCUCCUUUUCCAAAAUUGAUUUUGAAAAACUUAUUUGUAUCUCGCAACGCAAUUUUUCCAUCUUUCCAUAAAAUUACUCCUUGUCAUAGAAUAUCAACAAAAUCUCCAUAUUCCCUUCAAGGAUGCUCCAUACUAUCGCACCAAAUACAUCUUUGUAUAUAUCCUGGCUUUGAUAUGAAAAUUUCCUCUCAAGUAAUCCUUCUUUCUCCUCUAGCUUUGUAAGUUUGAUUUGUAAGUCUUUCAUUCUUUUUACCAACUCAUCAAUUGCAUCUUUCUGUGGUGCAACUAUAGAUAUAGGAAUUAGAAUAGUACUUACAAGUAUAGCACAUUCUAGCAGUUAUCUACAAGGUAUUGUAGUUGAUAGAGGUCUAGUCUCUUGCCUUACUAUCACCUUACAUCUCCGGUAUUCUCUUUUAGCAAGUAUGCCCAUAGCUUCAGAGACUUUCUUCCAAUUAGUAGUAAGUCCAUUAUCCUCUGUAUUAUCCUGCAAUAGUAAUUCCAACUCCCUUUGUAAAUCAUUGCCAACUAAUUGAAGAAAUAACUCCACCUUAUCAUUUUUAAGUCUAAGCUUUUCCAUUCAAGACAAUUGAAGAAACUAUCUUUCAAAUUCUCAAAAUAACUCUAUUGCAACUAACCCCUUGUUGGAUUUAUUGAUCCAUUCUAUAAACAAUUUUCUUUUCACCAUUUCUACAUCUUUAAAAAAUAUUCUUCUUUUAGCUAAAGGAGAAAAUCCUCUCAUUUUUCUCUAUGAGUUUGAAUAAUCUCUUUCAUACGCUCACAAAGCUUUGGUACAAUUGCAAGCUCAAAUGUUAAGAUCAUAUCUUUCUCUAGCACUUUAUUGAGCUCUAUCCACUAAAAAUAAUACUUAAGAUACUUAAAAAUAUUUCAUCCAUCAAAUUAAUGCAAUAAACCAAUAACAGAUUGCAAGGCUUUAAAAGCCAUUGCUUCCUUGCAUUCCACUACUUGUUGUUGUUGCAUAAAAAGUGAAAAUGCUUGAAAUAUUUGAGUUGUAGCAGGAUCAAGUUGCAAUAGAGAUUCCCCAGUAGAAUUCCUACUACUACUUCUUUGUCUUCCUUCCAUAAUAGAACGCCAAAAAUAUUUCUUCAAAACUCUCUAUUCCAGAAAUUUUCAUGUCAAAUUCACAAGGUCUGUCAUAUAUCGUGAUUUGCUAUUUAAAAAUAUACUAGAUAUCUAGCUAUAGAUAUUUUAGCUUAAACCUUUAUAUGAAACUUUUCUUAGCUUCCAAAACUCCUUUAAUUUGCAUAAAACUCAAAAUAAAACAAAAUUCCUUCAAAUAUAUAUUUUUUCCAUGAAGGGUUUUCUCUUCCUAAACUUUAGAAAUUCAUAACUCUUGAUCUAGCCGUUCAAUUUGUCUAAAAUUUAUAGAAUAGGUAGAAUUCACUCUUAACUUUUACCACAAAAAAAAUCAAUUGAAAAUACACUCCCAAACUUUUGGCAUCUAAGAAAUCCUAGCAGAUGCUCUAAACCCUAAUUUACAAGCAUUUGAGCACUAUUUUCUUAAUAUCUCAAGAAUCCAAUAUUCAAAUCUCAUCAAACUUAUGUAUAAAGUUUACUAACAUGAAUUUACACAUUUCCUGAAAUUUUGAGCCAAAACCUUAUCAAAUUGCUCAAGAUAUAGCUCAAGACACAACCACUAGUAAAUUGGGUCACUUACUACCCUUAGAUUACAUGUGCUGACUUCAAAAUCCAAUAUCUCCUUCAUUCCAACUUAGAAUCCAGCAAGUAGUAUACAAAAAGUAUAGCUGCAAAAGUACUUUCUCUAGUCGCAGUUGCCGAUCCUCAAUUACCCUCCGUUUGCGUGCGUUAUGCCAAAAAGAGUGACAAUGGCUCCCAAAUCAACACCUUAACUUUGAGUGCCUAUAUCUCCUUCAUAUAAACUCCAAAUCAUACAAAAUUUGCACCAAAACCAUUGCCAAAAACUUAAACUUAUUGAACUUAGCCUUCAAAGCUUGAAUUGUCCCAAAAACUAACCCUAAUCUCUAAUAUGGUCACGGUAGCCUCCUCAAAGCCCAUUGGUCAUGAUUUUUGAUCAAUAGGAGUGGAGAUUUUCAUCAUCUAUCUCCAUUCAUCUAUAUUGGUGCCCUAAUUACUCCCUUUGCUACCAAAACCUUUCUUCAAUCUUUUUUCUUAUAAGAUUUAUAUAAUUUAUGCUCUAAACACCAAAUAUAAGAAUCAAAAUAGGUUUUCAAAGGUCACCAAUGUCUAACAAAGGUGACUCUAAAUAUUUAGAAGUUACUAUCAACCAAAACCAAUCUUGAAAGUCACUAUCAAAAUGAAAUUAAAGUUAUAAAAAUUCUAUAGUAAUCUUUUUAAACAACCUCUUCUCAAGGUAAUAAUCAAAUUAUAUUCUACAACCAACUAAAAUCUACUAAUAUGGCUCUCACCAUGUUAUUUGAUAAAUUAUAUAUUAAGUACAUAAUUAUAUUAUUUUCAUAUAGUUGUUGAAUCACAACACGACAUCCAUCCCUUCUAAACCCGUGCAUUGUCCGGUAUGCAUCAAGAAGAAUCAAAGUUGUGGUCGACGUUGUCGUACUGUAAUUACUUACAGUAUGUAAAAAUUAGUGAAAACAUGUAAUAUGUUUAUAAGUCUUAAUGUGAGUUAGAAUAGUUAGUAUGUUAAUUUAAAAUGAAUUGAAAUAAGAAAAAUUAUUUGGAAGUUAAUCUAGUUUGAUUAUAGAGUUUAUAUUAUAUAUGAUUUAGAUAGUUAGUAUAAAGAUUAAGGGAAGGGAGGAGUUAAAAGAUGAAAAUAUAACUAGAAGAAGGCAUAUUGGAAAGGAUGAAAGUAAGGCAUGGUUGGAUGAAGGCAAGGGGUGAAGAACUUCAUCCCUAUUAGUCGAAUACCAUGCCCAAUGGGCUUUGAGGAGGCUGCCCGAGGCCAUAUUAGGGAUUAGGGUUCCUCUUUCGAGGCCAUUCGAGCUUUUGACGCUAGGGUCAGAAGGUUUAGGGUUUUGGGUAUAAUUUGGAUGAAGAUUUUGUGUGAUUUCGAGUUUUUAUGGAAAAGAUAUGAAUGUUCAAAGAUAAGGUGUCAAUUUCGUACCUACUGUCACUUCUUUUGGGCAUCACCUAUGAAUACAGAGAGCAACGGAAGAUCGGCGACUGGACUUGGAGGGAGCAUUUUCUCGGCUACACAUUCUACUUACUGUAUAGUGAAUUCUAAGAUUGGGUGAAGGAGUUAUGAGGCGUUGAAGACAGCACUUGUAAUUUGAAGGCAGUAAGUAUAUCGUUUUGUUGCUAGUUAUGGGUGAAGUCAUAUCUUGAGUUUCUGGACGAAAUUUUGGCUCAAAAUUUCCACAAGUGUGUGUAAUUGGGUUAAGAAUCUUUAGAUCAAAGUUUCAUAGUAUUUGAAUAAUUACUUUGUGAGAUAUGAAGGAAGUUGUACAUGGGUGUAAAAAAGCUAGGGUUUGAAGCUACAGUUAGGGGUUUCAAGAUAUCACAAGAUCCAAGAUGAAUUUACGGUUGAAUUUUGGUGUGGUAGUUGCUAAAGAUAUAUCAGUACUCCAUGUAAAAUUUGGAGUUGUUUAGACGGUUAGAUCGUAAGUUAUGAGCUGUUGAACUUCGGGAAAAAUUCCUCAUAAGGAUAUAUAAGUUUUUUAUAACACCUUAUCAAGUAUUUUGGUGUUCUUUGGAUUUUAAGGCUUGUAUAUUGAUGUAAUUGCUCCAAAGGAGAGGAGUUUAUAUAUAUAAAAUUGUUACCCUUAUAUUUCAAACUUGAUUGAGUAUUUAGUGACAGCUAGAAGCCCAGCGCUUUCUUGAGGCAAACUCUCUCUACCCCGACAACGUCAUAUUACUUCCUCAAUAAUGUCUUUUUCAAAAUUCAAUUCUUCUUCCUCAUAUCUAGAUAGAUCAAACUCUUCUUAAACAUUUUUAAGGACUAUUUCUUGAUCCUGUUGUUUGAAAAGUUUUAUACGUUUUCUUAUAAUUGAAAUUUUGAAACUUGUUCCAUCUAAUUCUCUUAAUGCAUAUGUAGUAUUAUCCAAAACAUGCACAACUACAUAAGGUCCAAACCAACGCUUAGAGAACUUUUUAUGAGCACUAUGUUGGUUAUCCAAGCACUUGCCAUAUAUCAAAAUCCAAUCACCUUCUUAGAUAUCUUUUGGCCUCAACUUGUGUCGCUUAUCAAAUCUAUCUUUAUUCUUCAAGCUCGACUCCCUUAGCCUUAUUAUUAUUUUUUCCACAUCUUUAGGUCUUCUCUCUAGUUGAAAAAUUCAAAGUACAAGAAGUUCUUCUUUAGAUAUAUUUUCUUGCCAAGGCAAGAUACUCCAAGUGGGUAUUUGCUCUUCAAUUGGUAUAAUGGGCUUCUAUCCUUACAUUAACUCUGUCGGCAUAUAUCCUGUCCCUAGAAUAGAAGGUAGUACCUAUAUCUUUAAUAUCUUCAAUCAAAUCUUCUUCUUGUUCAUAUCUGUUACAAGAUUAUCCUUGCCUACUAUAUGCCUAAAUUCAGAAUUCAAAGAUUUAAUAUAUGCAAUCCAUCUUAGCAUAGCAAUAUCAAGGGUGUUACAGUUGGUAAUCAUUUCCAAUAGUAGCAAACAAUAUGUUUCUACUAUCACUGGUGCCCCAAUUAAAUAAUCUCUUCUAUUUUUCAUAGUUGUAACUAUUUUCCAUAGCUCUUGUUUCACUUGUAGAUAGUUUCUUUUUUGUUCAUUUAUUCUUUUAGCUCCAAAUCUAAUAGCAAACCUGUUACCUUCUUCAUCGUUUUGUCCUAAAGUCCAACCAACAGCUAUUGGACUAAUAUCAAUUGUAAGUAUCACUGAUUUGCCAUCUUCAUAACUUAUCCUUUGCAAUACAAGUGGAGAAGAUAAUAAUCGUUUUAGCUUUCGAAUUGUUUCUGUAUGCUUCUUCUUCCAUUUGAAUCUCUUUCUUUUUUGUAGCAAACUAUAAAGAGGAUCAGCUACAUGUGCAUAAUGAGGAAUCCAUACACAAUAAAAUAUGCAAGCUCCUAAAAUCCUCCAUACCUCUGUUUAUGAGCUACAAAUAUCCUUCAUCCGUUGUAUGGCAUCCACCUUAUUAGGAUCAGAUUUGCGACCAAACCAUCUACAUAAAUGCCCCACAAUAACAACUUUUCAAACUCCAAAGGUAGAUUUAGCUCCUGAUAGUGUCAAGUGAACCUCCUCAAGUCGAGAUAAAAUUUUGUCACAGUCUAAAAUAUAAUUAGAUACAAAUUUAUGGCACCCCUUCAGAUCCAUUGUCUAAUUUUUUUCUUCUUCCACACACCUUUUUAUUGGAAUAUCAUCCAAAAAGGGCAUAGUCUUUUGUGGAAUGAAAUCACGAAGAACCUUAUUCAUCCCAUUUAUGAAGUGAGCUACCGAGUUUGUUGCUACUUGUGGCAAUGUAUAUAUCUUAACCAAUUCUAAAGGUUUUCUCAUAAUAGUGAUAUCUUUGCUUCCUUCAGCUAGUUGAAAUUAAUCAUAUCCAAAAUAGAGAUCUCCAAUAGAGUAAAUAGCUCUAUCGACAAAUGCCUCAACAAAUUCUCUAACAAUUAAUCCAACUUCGGUAUUUUUAAUAGUUACUUGAUUCACUAGUUGCAUAUCUUGAAUGAACCAUUGUCGUAAUAUAUGAAGUCUUGCUUGAAAAUACUCUAGGCACUUGAAUAUGGAAGAUAGAAUGGAAAUUGUAAUAACAAAAUCUUUAAUUCUAAUAGAACACUAAUAAUGUUAAACAAGCUUUAAUCAAUUUUAGAAAAACCCCAAUAGAUUUCCAAAGAAACAAUAAGAAAUCUUAAAGAAAUAUUAGAAUGAUUACAAACAUAUCUCAAGUACAUCUCAAUUCAAUCUUAAUUUAAUCCUAGUUGAAAUCUUACUUCAUUCAAACUUUAGGCCAAAAACUAAGUAAUCUUAAAUCCUAAAUAAACUCAAAUAAAAUUCUAAAUCCUAAAUCAAACCUUAAUCAAAUCCUAAAUCCUAAAUCAAACUCUAAAUCUUAAACUAAAUCUUAAUCCUAAAUAAAAUCAUAAUCAAAUCUUAAAUCUUAACUCUAAAUCAAAUCCUAAACCCUAAUCUUAAAUCAAAUCCUAACCAAAUCCUAACUCUAAUUCUAUACCCUAAUCCUAAAUCAAAUCCUAAUCAAAUCCUAAACCCUAAACUAAAUCCUAACCAAAUCCUAAUCCUAAAUCAAACCCUAACUAAAUCUUAAACCUAAAUCAAAUUCUAACCAAAUCUUAAAUCCUAAACCAAAUCUUAAUCCUAAAUCAAAUCCUAACCAAAUCCUAAUCCUAAAUCAAAUCCUAACCAAAUCCUAAUCCUUAUACUAAAUAAAAUCCUAACCAAAUCUUAACCCUAAUCCUAAAAUUUAAUCCAAAUCCUAAUCCUAAUCCUAAACCUUAAACCAAAUCCUAACCAAAUUCUAAUCCUAAAUCAAAUCCUAAUCUUAAAUCAAAUGCUAAUCAAAUCCUAAAUCCUAAAUUCUAAUCCUAAAUCAAAUCCUAACCAAAUCCUAACUCUAAUCCUAAAUCCUAAACUAAAUCCUAAUCAAAUCUUAACCCUAAUCAAACCCUGACCAAAUCCUAAAU